AGAAAAAAAGAAAGGUAUGUGUGUUGACAAAAGUCAAGAAAAAAAUGCACUCUCCUGAGUCAAAAGGAGUUGGCAAUGGAUUGCGUGAUGUUUAAUUGCUCAGGGUGGAUGAGGAAGAGAGGGGAGAGAGAAGGAUGUGUUCUUCCCGAGGCAGAGGGCGGUUUAUUUGCUGUAUUUUGUAAGUGUUUCAGACUACCCAAAAGCACAGUGCCGCUUCUUACCUUGCCUUUCCUGGAGGAAAAGACGGGAACAGAAACAUGAAAAGAAGAAAAGAAAAAGAGGGCAGGAAAGAAACGAACAUUCUCUGGCAGGUAAGUGGCAAGGGCACUGGUGCAGCCCUGGCCGUCAUUGUCUUCCGCGCGUGCCGUGUCACAGCCGUCAUAUUAGGUUGCCACGGCAGGGUGCACGCAAAACGGGGAGAGAGCGAGGCAGACGACGCUGCGCCACCACCUGCACAUUUCAGAUUGUUGGCAGAUGAUUCAUCUUUAGCACACAGGACAUGUCUCCAUUUUCUGCACACUUUAUAAUAACAUCUCAAAAAUGCUAUAAUUUUUCCUGCCUUGGCAGUGGAAUUCUGAUCCUAUCCCAAACCUGCCUCCAAAGAGUGCUGGGUGAAAUGCACUUUAAAUAGCAGCCAUAGAGAAGAGCAGCUUUAGACCCAGCAUCUGAGAAGAGAGAUCUUGUUUGGUUUCCUUUGGAAGAGAGCACAGGCCUGGACACAGAGACAAGGAAGGAGGAACUAUCUUCCUUUUUAAGUUGUAAGAACAGAGUAAUCACUUUCAUCAAGCAAAAGCUGUCCUGGUGACACACUGCAUGGGUUAUUUACUCACAUACAACAGCAAAAUGGGCUCUGCAUUUUUUCAAUCAUAUCAUGGCAAAUCCUUACCAGGAUUACUAAAAACAGAGUAGCAGGAGGAUGCCUUCCCCAAAG
rnacentral:lncRNA from 1 species